GUCGAACGCUGGCGGCGUGCUUAACACAUGCAAGUCGAACGGAAAGGCCCUGCUUUUGUGGGGUGCUCGAGUGGCGAACGGGUGAGUAACACGUGAGUAACCUGCCCUUGACUUUGGGAUAACUUCAGGAAACUGGGGCUAAUACCGGAUAGGAGCUCCUGCUGCAUGGUGGGGGUUGGAAAGUUUCGGCGGUUGGGGAUGGACUCGCGGCUUAUCAGCUUGUUGGUGGGGUAGUGGCUUACCAAGGCUUUGACGGGUAGCCGGCCUGAGAGGGUGACCGGCCACAUUGGGACUGAGAUACGGCCCAGACUCCUACGGGAGGCAGCAGUGGGGAAUAUUGCACAAUGGGCGGAAGCCUGAUGCAGCAACGCCGCGUGCGGGAUGAAGGCCUUCGGGUUGUAAACCGCUUUCGCCUGUGACGAAGCGUGAGUGACGGUAAUGGGUAAAGAAGCACCGGCUAACUACGUG
rnacentral:rRNA from 1 species